rnacentral:rRNA from 1 species
AUGAACGCUGGCGGCGUGCCUAAUACAUGCAAGUCGAGCGAACGGACGAGAAGCUUGCUUCUCUGAUGUUAGCGGCGGACGGGUGAGUAACACGUGGAUAACCUACCUAUAAGACUGGGAUAACUUCGGGAAACCGGAGCUAAUACCGGAUAAUAUUUUGAACCGCAUGGUUCAAAAAUGAAAGACGGUCUUGCUGUCACUUAUAGAUGGAUCCGAGCUGCAUUAGCUAGUUGGUAAGGUAACGGCUUACCAAGGCAACGAUGCAUAGCCGACCUGAGAGGGUGAUCGGCCACACUGGAACUGAGACACGGUCCAGACUCCUACGGGAGGCAGCAGUAGGGAAUCUUCCGCAAUGGGCGAAAGCCUGACGGAGCAACGCCGCGUGAGUGAUAAAGGUCUUCGGAUCGUAAAACUCUGUUAUUAGGGAAGAACAUAUGUGUAAGUAACUGUGCACAUCUUGACGGUACCUAAUCAGAAAGCCACGGCUAACUACGUG